rnacentral:sRNA from 2 species
UCGAUACUCUCCCGCCCUGGCAAACAGCCUCAGCAGCCGGGUAGCUUGCGUGCGGGCACCUUUUGUUUCGCUUGAAUACUGGUGCAUUGCAAACCCAGACAUACGUCCAUCAACUAGCAUUUACUACGAUUUAUCUUGAUUUCAACCAUGUCCUCCUACAGCUCACAUCCCACCUCCAAGUUUCGAUAACAGCCCCAGGCACCUCAUGCCUACAGCACUGGGCGAAGGCUAGAUAUUUAGAUUCUGUAUUCCGGAGUGAUUGUUCUCGAGUUCCGGGGGGUUUCAUAGUUCAUACCCUCCAAUAACCAUGUUCGAAAAGUCGCUUUACGACCUCAUCCGGGGUCUGCGGAAUCACAAGGGGAGUGAGGUCGAAUAUAUACAAAACAGCAUUAAGGAGUGUCGGGUUGAGGUGAAGUCGCAGGAUAUGGAUAAAAAGGCAACUGCGCUCCUGAAAUUAAUAUACCUGGAA